GUGUCAGCAGCCGCGGUAAUACGUAGGGGGCGAACGUUGUCCGGAUUUAUUGGGCGUAAAGAGCUCGUAGGCGGCUCAGCAAGUCGGCCGUGAAAACCCGGGGCUCAACCCCGGGACGCCGGUCGAAACUGCUGUGGCUAGGGUUCGGUAGAGGAGAGUGGAAUUCCCGGUGUAGCGGUGAAAUGCGCAGAUAUCGGGAGGAACACCAGUAGCGAAGGCGGCUCUCUGGGCCGAUACCGACGCUGAGGAGCGAAAGCUAGGGGAGCAAACAGGAUUAGAUACCCCAGUAGUCC
rnacentral:rRNA from 1 species